rnacentral:rRNA from 1 species
GGCCAACAGUAAGAAAUCACAGGGUUAGUGGAAGUGGUCUGGAACGGCCUGUCGUAGAGGGUGAGAAUCCCGUACACGAAAACUUUGUGACUGUUGUAAUGGAAACCCAAGUAGCACCGGGCCCGUGAAAUCUGGUGUGAAUCUGUCGGGACCACCCGAUAAGCCUGAAUACUCCCUGGUGACCGAUAGCGGACUAGUACCGUGAGGGAAAGGUGAAAAGUACCCCGGGAGGGGAGUGAAAUAGUACCUGAAACCGUGCGCUUACAAUCCGUCAGAGCCUUCGAGCAGUUUACUGCUGGGGGUGAUGGCGUGCCUUUUGAAGAAUGAGCCUGCGAGUUAGUGGCAUGUCGCGAGGUUAACCCGUGUGGGGUAGCCGUAGCGAAAGCGAGUCCGAAUAGGGCGAUCGUAGUGGCAUGCUCUAGACCCGAAGCGGAGUGAUCUACCCAUGGCCAGGUUGAAGCGACGGUAAGACGUCGUGGAGGACCGAACCCACUUAGGUUGAAAACUGAGGGGAUGAGUUGUGGGUAGGGGUGAAAGGCCAAUCAAACUCCGUGAUAGCUGGUUCUCCCCGAAAUGCAUUUAGGUGCAGCGUCGCGUGUUUCUCACCGGAGGUAGAGCUACUGGAUGGUCUAGGGGGCCCACAAGCUUACCGAAAUCAGCCAAACUCCGAAUGCCGGUGAGUGAGAGCGCGGCAGUGAGACUGCGGGCGAUAAGGUUCGUAGUCGAGAGGGAAACAGCCCAGAUCGCCAGCUAAGGUCCCUAAGCGUGUACUAAGUGGAAAAGGAUGUGGGGUCGCGAAGACAACCAGGAGGUUGGCUUAGAAGCAGCCACCCUUGAAAGAGUGCGUAAUAGCUCACUGGUCAAGUGAUCCUGCGCCGACAAUGUAGCGGGGCUCAAGUACACCACCGAAGCUGCGGCAUUCACGCAAUAGCCCCCCUUCACUCUGCGGAGUGUUGGGCAGGUGUGUGGAUGGGUAGGGGAGCGUCGUGUGGCCAUGGAAGCGGCAGGGUGACCUAGCCGUGGAGGCCACACGAGUGAGAAUGCAGGCAUGAGUAGCGAAAGACGAGUGAGAAACUCGUCCGCCGAAUGACCAAGGGUUCCUGGGCCAGGUUAAUCCGCCCAGGGUGAGUCGGGACCUAAGACGAGGCCGACAGGCGUAGCCGAUGGACAACGGGUUGAUAUUCCCGUACCCGUGUGAACGCGCCCAUGGUGAAUCAGUGAUACUAACCAUCCUGAAGCCACGAGAAGACCUUCGGGUCUCGAGUUGGUGGAUGCAUGGGACCUGAUCUGGUAGUAGCCAAGCGAUGGGGUGACGCAGGAAGGUAGCUGAGCCAGUCAGUGGUAAUACUGGUGUAAGCGUGUAGGGCGUGACCUAGGCAAAUCCGGGUC